GACGAACGCUGGCUGCGGGCUUAACACAUGCAAGUCGCACGGAAAGGCCCUGCUUUCUUGGGGUGCUCGAGUGGCGAACGGGUGAGUAACACGUGAGUAACCUGCCCUUGACUUUGGGAUAACUUCAGGAAACUGGGGCUAAUACUGGAUAGGAGCUCCUGCUGCAUGGUGGGGGUGGGAAAGUUUCGGCGGUUGGGGAUGGACUCGCGGCUUAUCAGCUUGUUGGUGGGGUAGUGGCUUACCAAGGCUUUGACGGGUAGCCGGCCGGAGAGGGUGACCGGCCACACUGGGCAUGAGAUAAGGCCCAGAAGCCUACGGGAGGCAGCAGUGGGGAAUAUUGGACAAUGGGAGGAAGCCAGAUGGAGGAACGCCGCGUGCGGGAUGACGGCCUUCGGGUUGUAAACCGCUUUAGCCUGUGACGAAGCGUGAGUGACGGUAAUGGGUAAAGAAGCACCGGGUAAAUACGUG
rnacentral:rRNA from 1 species